UUUACGAGUUCUUAGCUUCUCGUUGUUGUGGAGUUCCGAUCUCUUUGAUUUCAAUCUCUUUUCCGAUUCAAGCUCAGAGGCGGAGAAGCAUAUCCAAAUCGAUGAUCUGUGUAAAGGAUCGAGACGAACGAGCAUCCUAACUCAUCGAAUCCACCAACUCAGGUAUUGAUUACAACUUGGAACAUGAUCGGAGAUAUUCGCUGUUAGAAUAUCUGAAAUUUAGAUGGAGAAUCGUGAUAGUUUGAUACGGGAAAUUCAAAUCUCAGUGUUUGAAGGUAUCAAUCCUUUUAGUUGAUAGAUUUUUCAAAAUUGAUCAAUAAGAGAAAUUAUGAUUGGUUUAAUUGAGUUUCAAAGUAAAAGAACUGGUAUAAAGGAACUGGAAACAAUGAAAAUUCAUGAAUUUACCUGAGUUUUAAAAAAGAUUAAUUGGUUACUUGAUUUGCUCUUGAUUAGACAAUGUCAAUUCAGAAAAAAGAUGUUUGUGCAAACCAUUAAUUUCAAAUCUUAGUUAAACCGAUUCCGGUACAACAGUUUUGAAGGCAUGCUUAGCUAAGUAUCGGCUUCCCGAUUACAACCACGAGAGACAAAAGAAAAAAUAAUGCGAUGAAACGAAGAAGAUAGAUUUAGGAUAUCAAAGAUGAUCCCAUGGAGCUCCUUAGGUUGAUUCUCCGACGUGAUGGCUUCAACCAAUUGUUUAUAAUCAGAAGCGACUCAGAGGUUUCGUAAGCCCAGGUUAUGGGCGUCUUGAAGGGCAUGGAACAUAGCUAAUGCUUUUGUGAGGAGUGAGGAUCAUAUGCAAAAAGGGUUGCCGAUCCUUUGAAAUGUAGUCAGAUGGUUUCAUUGCUGAAGAUCCAUCUGCAUGCUGCAGUAUUUGCCUGCUUUUGCCAAGUCGCAUCAAUGUGAAAGCUAACUACAUCAGAUCCCUUUGAGAGAAGGGGAUCUCAGGUUCGUUUAGGUGACAAGAUCGGUUGUGCCUCCUGGGCUUCGCACCAUUCUCGUCCCAAUUUUAGGGCAUCGGUUAAGGUUUUAGUUGGGGACGAUCUCUUAUCGUUAAAAAGUAGCUGAUUCCGGGAGAUCCAGAUCGCCCACAGUAUCUAUGGGAACAACGGUCCACAUCCCACACCACACGGGGUAAGCAGGUUAGAUGUUUGGUUUUGUCGAUUAGUUCUCUGAUCGUCUGGAUGGAGUUGGGGGCCAGAGGUGAUUUGAAAGGGGCCAUAAUCCAUAUUUGGGAUGCGAAGGUACACAUGAAGAACAAAUUGAAGCUUGUUUCAUCCUGCCCAUAAAAGGGGCAUUUAGCCUCAGAGUUGAUGGUUCUUGCUCUCAGAUUUUCUCUUGUUGGUAAGGCAUCUUUCAUUGCUUUCCAGAGAAGGAGCUUGUUCUUUGGUGAAUUUUUUUUAUGCCAGAUAUUUUCUGAUCAGUUAAAGCUUCUCAAUGUACGAGGUGGCUGUGGGGCAUUCGAUUCACUCACAUUGAUACUCUCAUAGUAAACCAAUUUUGCAGAGUAGAGGCCAUUCUUUGUUGUCACCGGUGAGAUAAAGUGAGCAACUAUGAGGUUUUGAGUCUCCUUCGUUGGUGGUCCCACUCCAAUGAAAUCCACGUCUCGCCAGAGUGAAGUUCCCUGGCCAUUUCCAUCACUUUUCCAAGACACAGCUUUAAAGUGGCAGUAUCUCCCUACCAGGAUCUUGGCUAACAGGCAGUUUGGUGAUGAGCAAUCCCACCGAAAUCUUGUCAUCACUGAUUGAAUUCGUUUACAUCGGGAUCCAGGGAGCUUGAAGCACAACAUUGUGUUUGUAGGUAUUGCUGCUAAAACAAAUUUUAGCCAUAUCAUCUUCCAUACAGUUGAUAAGAAUCUUGAGGAUGAAUUUUUUUCUCUUUGUCGGAUCCUAUCCACUAAACUGGUAAAGAUAUCCUCCUUUUCCGUCCAAAUAUUUUAGACAAAUCCAAGUAUUUACCCAAACCUUCUUCUUUGGAUAUACCCAGAAGGGUUUUUGUUUGUUCUCUGAUCGAUUUGGGUGUUAUUGCAGAGAACGUGAUGGCGGAUUUCUGUGGGUUGAUCAUCUGGCCAGAGGCUUGCUCGUACUUCAAGAUCUUGAGAAGCAAUAUGAUAUCAUGAGUUUGUCACAUAAUCUCAUCAACAGAUGUUGUCAUCAUUUAUUGGAAGGCUUUGCUUACCGAGUCACAAUUCAAGAAAACUGCUGGUACAUACUUACAAGCUCACUUUAUGUAUAAUCUAACACUAAGGGAUUGGCAUGGAACACACUAUAUGUAAAGUAGUGCAGAGUGGCCACUUUUGGUAUGGAGGGAGAAGACAAAUUUGUUCAACCCUCUCUGUCCAAGAUUUCUCUAGCUCCCAGAAUCUAAGUUUAAAGCAAUUAUUGUAGGAUGCACGAAGACUAACUACAAAGAUCUAUGAUGAUUAUGUUAGGCCUUCUACGCACACUUCUCUGGUCAUUGCUGAAAGGAUGUAUAUUCUACAGGAGGAGCCUUUUAAAAGUUUUGAUUUUGAAGAUACUUAGGGGUAGCAAAAAGAUUUGAAGAUAUAGAUAAAAUUGUGGAUAAUAUGUUUACAUGAGACAUUUAAAAGUUUAUGUGUAAAAUUUAUACGUUUGAUAAUUGAUUAAUAGAUAUUUAA